AUAUAUAUAUGUAUAUAUUUAGUAAAACUUGUAAAUAAUUAAGAAGCACUACAUUAAAAAUAAGGAUCCGUUUAAUCCAUUGUUGAACCGUACUAUUUGAAACUGCAAAUCUUCCCGAUCUACACUUGAAUCGUAUUUGAAAAUAAACAGGUCUUGUCCUACCAUUGAGUCACACUACUUGAAAAUGGAGAUCCGACUGAAUGGGCGUAAUUUCAUUCGUUGUAAAAUUAGUAUUGCCGGCUGUCGGAUAAGAAAUUCCUACGGUACCCGGUAAAAAAGUAGUACGCGAUCAUAUGCAUGAUUGCCAUAGAGACGACUGGGAAGGCGCAGCGCAGGCGCCAUUUUGACGACGACAGGAUUUCUGUCGGUUUAGUGCACAAGUGUAUCCGCAUGCGACAGCCACGAAUCAGUUGAGUACUGUCAACAACACGGCAGUGACGGUGCUGGGAGGAUGUCAGAGAUAACUUUUCACACAAUUGAUUGAAUUUAAAAGGAACUAGAUUAUUGGUCUGGCGGAGGGUGGGUGGUUCACGACGAGAAUUGCUAUUUAUUUAUCGCAAGACGUUCAGAUCGUGACUGGUAGAUGUUGGGAGACCAAUGCCAAGAGGAGGCAGCCUGUCGACCAGAAUCCGGGGCUCUAAAGGAGCACCUCAGCCCGUGAUGACAGACUGACAAAUUGUAAGGGCUGCAUUACAGGACAAACAUGUCACACGGUGUCAGUUAAGUCGUGAUGUGGCGAGUAUAGAUGACGUUCCAGUAUCAAUACGAACAAUAUCACGUCGGUCACAAGAAACCUGGUUCAAACUCGAUAGAAUUUCCAACAUAAUCUGUGAUUGUAUACUCGGUCACAGAACAGUUGCAACAGUUUUUGUUUUGUUUCUCAUAUUUCGGGACACACAAAAAUUAUGACGUAGCGAAUUUUUGAAUUGACGAUCAUGCGCAGUAGGUGAUCUGUCAAAUUACAUAUACAAGGUGUAGGCAUAAAGAUAAGUAAUAGAGCAAUAUAUUAGUUAUACACGAUUUAAUACAAGAAAAUUAAAACUGAAAAAUUAGGAUUAUAUUUAUAAAUUAUAUCGCAUUUUUGCAUGUUAAGUACGCGGAAACUAAUAUAUUGCUCUAUUAUUUUUCUUUAUGCCUACACACCUUGUAUAUGUAAUUUGACAGAUCACCUACUGCGCAUGAUCAAUGUCAAUUCAUAGGUUCGCUUCGUCAUAAUUUUUGUGUUCCGAAAUAUAAGAAACAAAAACUGUCGCAACCGUUCCAUGACCGAGUGUACAAGUGCUGAGUUUGUAAUAAACUCUUUAAAAUUGUAACAAAAUUCAUAAAUAAAACAAAUGGCCGUUAGUAACGGAAUCAUUCUGUAUAUUGCUUACAAUAGCUUUAGAUCUAAGCGGGUCAUUGACAAAUAUGAUUGACGUGCCAGGCUGGAUUUAAUAUUAAUAGAUGUAAUUGCAAAUAAUUGUAUUUAUAUAAACAAUGGUUAAUUAGCGUGCCGUAAAACGUAUAUAGAUGAGUAUGUAUUUAGCGAACGAACAACGAAUAAACAGCGAACUUCAAUGUUCGUACGUUUGUAUUUGGGUUGGUU